rnacentral:lncRNA from 1 species
GUGUUAGGAUAUUUAUCCUAUUUAUCAUGAUUAUAUUGUGUCUAGGGUUACUCUAAUUAUCAUAAUUAUAUUGUGUCUAGAUUACUCUAAUUAUCAUAAUUAUAUUGUGUCUAGAUUACUCUAAUUAUCAUAAUUAUAUUGUGUCUAGGUUACUCUAAUUAUCAUAAUUAUAUUGUGUUUAGGUUACUCUAAUUAUCAUGUACUC